GUCACUCUGGCCAUAGCUAAAUUAAAUAGACUCUCAGAAGAGUUAAAGAGAAACUCUGGAGUUACUGAUCCCUGGGAAAAAUGGUUUGGUUGGAUGACUGGUUGGCAGAGAGCUUUAUUCCAGAUUGGUAUUGCCUUACUAAUUUUUCUUUUUAUUCUCGCUCUUCUCAUUUGUUGUGUCCUCCCAUGCCUAAGGAAAUUCCUGCAGAAAACUGUAGACCAAGCAACACCAACCUUCACUUAUCUGACAAUCGAUGAUCAAGACCUCAUCUCACCCUGUAUUCCGCUACAAACUCUCCCUUAUACUGAUGAAGUGCAGAAAGUCUAGGAA